UUUGUGUAGUGAGAACACUGAUACCUAAAUAUCAGCAUUUUUACUAAUUUGCCCUAAGUGAGCAUCAUCUAAAAUGAUUUCAGAAUUACUUCACCUUUACCACUAUAAAACCAAAACAACACCCCACCCUGGUAGAUAACUAACUUCAUUGGUUUUGUGUUUAUUCUUCUGAUUUUUCUUUUGAUUCAAUAAACAGAUAACAUGUAUUUUUCCUUAUUUCCUUUUUUUCUAGCACAAACACGAAUGCUGUCUAUAUAAGUACUUUGGCACUUAGCUGUUUUCACUGAAAAAAUAUACCCUGAAAAUCAUUCUGUCUCAAUUCAUAGAGAUCAUCAUUAUUCUUCUGUGUGUGUGUGUGUAUGCAAGUUCAUUUGUCCUGUCUUCUGUCCUAUCUUCUCUAGGCUAUCGAGGUGAUUUUGCAGUUUUGGAGUGCUACAAUGAAUAAUCUUGUGCAUGUCUUUUUUACUGCUGGAGGUGGGUCUUCAGGAUAAAUAUAGGUGUGGGAUUACUGGCUUAAAGGGUAAAUGGAUAUGUACUUUUGCUAGAUGUUACCAAAUCUCCUUCCAUUGGAAUUGUACUGUUUUGCAUUAGAAAACAAUGAAUUUGGAAUCAGUUUACUGUUUUUAACAGUGAAGGAAUGGGGUAGUAAUCUGUAUCAGAGAAAUAGGGAUAAUUAUCUGUGCUCUGUCACUGACCCACAAUUUUACAUUUUAAAGCCUGAACCACAGGAAUCUACUAUUUCAUUUAUAGAGUAUGCCAUUUAAUUAUUUUAACUUUUUAUUACAGAAAAUUUCAAACAUCCAUAAAACUAACACUAGACUUGACCUCUUUUAGGCUUCUGUAACUCCACCAUCUCCACAUAUCUGAAGUGCAUAGAAAAAAAGGUGAGAAAGAGAAUAAUAGGUUAGAGACUAUUGUGGCACGGAUUAGUGAAAAUAGCGCAAAAGCAGUCUGGUUGAUGGAUGCAUUAAAAGUUGUAUCUCUUGGGGGAUCCCUGGGUGGCUCAGCUCUGCUUAUGUCCCUGCGCCUCUCUGUGUCUGUGUCUCUCAUGAAUAAAUAAAUAAAAUCUUUAAAAGAAUUGUAUCUCUUAUUUCAGGUCAAAAUAAACAGUGUUUACUGUAUACAUAUGUAUUUGUUAUUAGAGCAGAAGCUACAAAUGUCUUUUAUCAAUGAACCUAAAACAACUUACAGACAUUUGCGAGCCAGCAUCUAAACAUAACACAGAAAACGCUAAAAAAUUCCAGUUUGUUUAAUGACUUAGCCCAAAUCAGAAGUCAGAUACUUAACUGACUGAGCUACCCAGCCCAUUUUUUAAUUGGGUUCUUUUUUGAUGCUAAGUUGUAAGAGCCUCUGCUUUAUGUAUUUUGGAUAUUAAACCCUAUGUAAAGAUAUGAUUUGCAAAUAUUUUCUCCUUUCUUUGGGCUGUCUUUUCACUUAUGAUAGUGCCCUCUGAUGCAAAAAAGUUUUUAAUUUUCAUAACGCCAAUUUAUCCUUUCCUUUUUUGCCGUGUGGUUUUGGUGUCAUAUUUAAGAAACUAUUGCCAAAUCUAUGGUCACGAAGAAAUGCUCUUGUGUUUUUUUCUGAGAAUUUGAUAGUUUUAACUUAAAUUAUAUCUGUGAUCCAUUUUAGGUUUAUUUUUGUGAGUGGUAUAAGUAAGGUAUGGGUCCAACUUCAUUUUUCUUGCAUGUGGGUUUCCAGUUCUCCCAGCACCUUUUUUUUUUAUUUUUUAUUUUUUUAAACUUUUAUUUAAAGAGAUCCUUUCCUCACUGAAUGGUCUUGGCUCUUGUAGAAAAUCAGCUGGACAUAUAUGUGAGAGUUUAUUUCUGGGCUCCCUAUUCUAUUCCACUGCACCAUACAUCCAUCCUUACACCAGAACGUAGUUUUUAUUACUGUAUUAAAGGUUUUCUUUUUGACUGACUAGUUUAUCAUUCUUGGUUUUUUUUUAAGCUUUUUUUUUUUUAAGACUUUAUUUAUUCAUGAGAGACACAGAUCGAGAGAGAGAGAGAGACAGAGACAGAGACAGAGACACAGGCAGAGAGAGAAGCAGGCUCCGUGCAGGGAGCCCAAUGCGGGACUCGAUCCCAGGACUCCAGGAUCAUGCCCUGGGCUGAAGGCAGCCACUCAACUGCUGAGCCACCCAGACGUUCCAAAUUGACUAGUUUAACAUUCUUA
rnacentral:lncRNA from 1 species